UCAACACGUACCGGGGCCUGCUGGAGAGCGAGGACUGCAAGCUGCCCUCCAACCCCUGCGCCACGACCAACGCCGGUGACAGGUCCUGCAUCACCAAUCCCUGCACCCCUUGUGUCCCACGCCCCCGCUGUGGGCCCUGCAACACCUUUGGGUGCUAGAUAUCCUGAGGCCAGCAGGAGGGUUGCGUGAAGACAGAAGGGACGUCGAUGGACCAGCUCUGCUUCUCUGACAACCAUCAGCUGCAGGACCCACCCCAGGCAUCACCAUAAAUGAUAGUCUGGAAGGAGAACAAAUGCCCAGGGUGUGGCCCGGCUCUGAGCCUAGGCCCGCCUGCUCCUCUUCAUUCAGGGCCACUCUCUUGUAGUUAUUCUGCGACCUGAUGGUCUGACGGGUUUGGGCUGUGAAGGUGUCAUAUGAGGUGUUUUGUGGUUCUCUCUGCUGCUUUCUUCUAGUUCCAUAAAUCCCUUUGUAAGUCUUCUAAUAAACUUUCCUCUUGCAAAGCA